UCAUAUUGCUGAAAGGAGGCGCCAUGCGCUUGUGCUAAAACUUCUAUUUUCUGGAGAAAGUGGAUUUAAUUUCGGUGUCCAAAGAGCAUCGUGGAUCCUAUGAAAAACGCACCAGUGUUUUUCAUAUCUGCAGAAG